rnacentral:piRNA from 1 species
AUGGGACACAGAGCACUGGAGCU